rnacentral:rRNA from 1 species
AUUGAACGCUGGCGGCAGGCCUAACACAUGCAAGUAGAACGAGUGGCGGACGGGUGAGUAAUGUCUGGGAAACUGCCUGAAGGAGGGGGAUAACUACUGGAAACGGUAGCUAAUACCGCAUACCCACAGCUGUUCCCAGAUGGGAUUAGCUAGUGGGUGGGGUAACGGCUCACCAAGUGGACGAGCCCUAGCUGGUCUGAGAGGAUGACCAGCAACAAGGGAACUGUGACACGGCCCAGACUCCUACGGGAGGCAGCAGUGGGGAAUAUUGCAAAAGGGGCGCAAGCCUGAUGCAGCCAGGCCGCGUGUAUGAAGAAGGCCUUCGGGUUGUAAAGUACUUUCAGCGGGGAGGCGUUACCCGCAGAAGAAGCACCGGCUAACUCCGUGCCAGCAGCCGCGGUAAUAC